AUUGAACGCUGGCGGCAGGCCUAACACAUGCAAGUCGAACGGUAACAGGAAGCAGCUUGCUGCUUCGCUGACGAGUGGCGGACGGGUGAGUAAUGUCUGGGAAACUGCCUGAUGGAGGGGGAUAACUACUGGAAACGGUAGCUAAUACCGCAUAACGUCGCAAGACCAAAGAGGGGGACCUUAGGGCCUCUUGCCAUCGGAUGUGCCCAGAUGGGAUUAGCUAGUAGGUGGGGUAACGGCUCACCUAGGCGACGAUCCCUAGCUGGUCUGAGAGGAUGACAAGCCACACUGGAACUGAGACACGGUCCAGACUCCUACGGGAGGCAGCAGUGGGGAAUAUUGCACAAUAGGCGCAAGCCUGAUGCAGCCAUGCCGCGUGUAUGAAGAAGGCCUUCGGGUUGUAAAGUACUUUCAGCGGGGAGGAAGGGAGUAAAGUUAAUACCUUUGCUCAUUGACGUUACCCGCAGAAGAAGCACCGGCUAACUCCGUG
rnacentral:rRNA from 1 species